GAUGAACGCUGGCGGCGUGCCUAAUACAUGCAAGUCGAGCGGACGGACGAGAAGCUUGCUUCUUUGAUGUUAGCGGCGGACGGGAGAGUAACACGUGGAUAACCUACCUAUAAGACUGGGAAAACUUCGGGAAACCGGAGCUAAUACCGGAUAAUAUUUUGAACCGCAUGGUUCAAAAGUGAAAGACGGUCUUGCUGUCACUUAUAGAUGGAUCUGCGCUGCAUUAGCUAGUUGGUAAGGUAACGGCUUACCAAGGCAACGAUGCAUAGCCGACCUGAGAGGGUGAUCGGCCACCCUGGAACUUAGACACGGUCCAGACUCCUACGGGAGGCAGCAGUAGGGUAUCUUCCGCAAUGGGCGAAAGCCUGGCGGAGCGGCCCCGCGUGAGUUAUGAAGAUCUUCCGUUCGUAAAACUCUGUUAUUAGGGAAAAACAUCUGUGUAAUUAACUGUGCACUUCUUGACGGUACCUGAUCAGAAAGCCACGGCUAACUACGUG
rnacentral:rRNA from 1 species